rnacentral:rRNA from 1 species
AUUGAACGCUGGCGGCAGGCCUAACACAUGCAAGUCGAGCGGAUGAAGGGAGCUUGCUCCUGGAUUCAGCGGCGGACGGGUGAGUAAUGCCUAGGAAUCUGCCUGGUAGUGGGGGAUAACGUCCGGAAACGGGCGCUAAUACCGCAUACGUCCUGAGGGAGAAAGUGGGGGAUCUUCGGACCUCACGCUAUCAGAUGAGCCUAGGUCGGAUUAGCUAGUUGGUGGGGUAAAGGCCUACCAAGGCGACGAUCCGUAACUGGUCUGAGAGGAUGAUCAGUCACACUGGACUGAGACACGGUCCAGACUCCUACGGGAGGCAGCAGUGGGGAAUAUUGGACAAUGGGCGAAAGCCUGAUCCAGCCAUGCCGCGUGUGUGAAGAAGGUCUUCGGAUUGUAAAGCACUUUAAGUUGGGAGGAAGGGCAGUAAGUUAAUACCUUGCUGUUUUGACGUUACCAACAGAAUAAGCACCGGCUAACUUCGU